AUGCAGUACAAUGCCUGGGGCGUUCGUGACAUUGAUGGCUAUGGCUGCUUCGUGUUCGAGAAAGAUCCUAGCUCCAAGUGCUACCAUAUAACUGAAAUUAACCGAUGCAAGUUGAAGAAGGAUUGGCCGGUGCUGCCGGCUGGCAUCAAGUUUGAUCCCAUGGAUCAGGAGCUGAUUGAGCACCUUGAGGCCAAAGUGAGUGCUGGCAGCACGAGAUCUCACCCUGUCAUCGAUUUGUUCAUACCAACCAUCGACAGCGAGCACGGCAUAUGCUACACCCAUCCUGAGAAACUUCCAGGUAUCACACCGAGUGGCCUAAGCAAGCAUUUCUUCCAGCGCAAUUCCAGGGCGUUCAAAAGGGGUACGUGGAUGCGAUGCAAGAUACAGUCAGAGUGUGGCAUGCACGCGAUGUGGCACAACACCGGCAAUACCUUACCGGUGAUGGUCAAUGGCCGGCAUACGGGUAGCAAAAAGGUUCUGGUGCUGCACACCAACAAGAACUUCGACCAGCAGAGGACCAACUGGGUGAUGCACCAAUACCACCUCGGGGACCUGGAGCAAGAGAAGGAGCGGGAGCUGGUCCUCUGCAAGAUUUUCUACCAAACGAACACUAGGGCCAGGAGUAAAAAGAUUAUAAAUUAG
rnacentral:rRNA from 1 species